GACGUAGGGUGCGAGCGUUGUCCGGAUUUAUUGGGCGUAAAGAGCUCGUAGGCGGCUCGUCGCGUCAGCUGUGAAAACCCGCGGCUUAACCGUGGGCUUGCAGCUGAUACGGGCGGGCUAGAGUUCGGUAGGGGAGACUGGAAUUCCUGGUGUAGCGGUGAAAUGCGCAGAUAUCAGGAGGAACACCGGUGGCGAAGGCGGCCUUCUGGACAGUGACUGACGCUGAGACGCGAAAGCGUGGGGAGCGAACAGG
rnacentral:rRNA from 1 species